GACUGCAACUCACUCCUUCUGCUCUGAGUAUGGACCAUCUUCAAAACCAAACAGAUGCAGCACAAAAAUACCAGCUCAGGGCAAACAGCUGCAGGUUCCUGGACCCUGAGGUCACAAAUGAAGGGGACAUGAGGUGCAGACACCUUGCUGAGAAGCUUCUUUGUCUGAAGAAACCAAACCCUUUUUGGACUGCAGCGUGCUGCCCCUCUGCCAUUGCUGUUGCAGUGCAGAUGUCAGGAAGUUCACUCCGCUGGUGGACGUUUGCAGAGUGAAUCACGGGGCACCACUUUCCAUUUUGACAAAAACAACUGCUGCUCAAGUCAACGAGCUGCUGCUGAUCGAAUGGGUGGAUGGAACUCCUGCAACUGCUGCCAAAAAGCCUCCACCAGCACAAGCAAGCUGUGUGUGCUGGCUUGGAGAACUGGGAUUUAUUUUUUCUUCCCUUUUCUUAAGAGAAUACUCACGGUUUCAUGUUCUUACUCAACACCUGAGGGGCUCAGCCUGUGGCUACCAGCUUUGACCUGCAACUGGAGAAAAUGCUUGUUGCUGGAAGAGACUAGAAUAAUUAAACUGGGGGGAGAAGGGGGAAGGCAGAUAAUGUUCUAUGGAACAUGGAGUGCUAUAGGAGACAAGAAAAACAGCUUCCUCUGGUGCCUAUUGCCAAAAUUUCAGAAGACCAGACAACAACUUGAGAAUUUCCAAGGGAACAGCCACUGAGUCAGUCAAAAAUAGAAUUAGGAAACUGACUGUUUCAAAAGUAAGAGUCUGUCAGAUGUGCCAGCAUUUUUCAGUAUUUCUGUCAUUUCCGAGAAGAACACUCAAGAGUUAACACACAUUUAUCUACCAAAAAUAAAAGCCAACCCACAGAAAAAGGCAAAAUGAGAAAGGAAAUCUAUGUACCAAAGGAACAUUCAUCAUAUUUCAUACACUUAAAUGAAAAUCACUGAUCACUUUUGCACACAUUUAUGUGAAGUUUAUUAUUCUUUGCAGUUUUCAAAUGUCUCUACUUCCUUAGGCAUCAUCAACAAACCAAGGACAGCCUUCCUGCAGUCACUCUGCUAUUCAAAAUGUGGAUAAAUCGAAACGUGCAAGAAAGGCAAUACUCAGUGCUCUUCCCUGAAAGAGGAAGAUAACACACUGUUCUUUUUUACUAACUGAUUUUUUUUUAUUUCACUGAUUAAAAGAAAGAAAGACUUAAGGGAAAGGGAGCAACUUUCUAUUUUAUUAUUCCUCGCUGUUAGUUUUCUGAUAUAUAGGUUAUAAUGUGGCACUCAUUAACAAUUCAUAGAGAAUUACCAUAUUCAAGUAGCACAGCAAGUUUUUACUACCUAGCCAGGCAAAAUACUGCACAACCCUACUUGCUCCCUUUACUUAUUGUCCCAGAGGGAUCUCAUGCUGGAAAAGCUGGCAUUUUAUCACCUAACGGGAAAGGAAUCCCAGAAGGUUCGACACUCCAAGGAACCCUGAACAGAAAAACAUUCCAUGAAAUCACUGACAAUGCAGAGCUGCACACCAAAAUUAAGCACUGGAGAGGAUGUGUGCUGGAGGCUGCCUUGGAAUUAAAAACCCCAAUCUGGAGCAAUGUCCCACUGCUUUGAACUUCUUGGUGCGUUUCAGGGGGAUGCAAACGAGAGACCUGAGGUAUCGGCUUUGUUUCCGAGGGAUUCACGCUGGAAGUGCCGACAGCCGGAGCGCGAGAGGAGCUGUGGGAUCUGCCCAGACCCACACGGAGCAUCACGGGGAGCCCAGCAGCAACCAAACCAGGACAAAUUCACAGGGGGCACUCAGGAAGCACGAGGAGUUCAAGUCCCAGGAGAGGAAAAAGCCCUCUAACGCAGAUCAGGAUUUAAAAAAGAAGGCUCUUGGCAAGGUUUGAUUCCCCACACAGCGAUGCCUUGGAGUUCCCAUCUCGUGUUUCCUCUCGGCGUCUUUUACAGACACUUGAUCAUUGCAGUGGCUUAAUAACUCAUCUAUUUUACAGGUCAGCAAAUGAAAACACCUAAAUUACUGACCAAAUAUCACAAAUUAGCAAGGGUCUACAGUGCCCAUUGAUUUUAACUCCCAUAUAAAUCAGCAGUUUUGACAGACAUGCACACUGUGAUACAGAGGCACCCAGAAUCUCAGCAUAGAAAUUUGGCUUUGAUGAUGUAAUCAAAUCCAGAAAAAAGGGAGAAUCUAAAUUGAAGUUCAACGAUUCCUUUCUUCUAGACAGCUUGUAUGAACAAACAUGUCUGCUACCCCUUAAACUUUUAAAUCAGCUUAGCAGACCUGAGAAAUUGAACCAUGCAGCUGAAAUUUGAAGUGCCCAAACACGGAGAUCCUCCCAGCGUUAACCACAAUGCUACAGAAGAACCAUUAAGAAACAAGUAGUGGUAUAAUGCAGGCAAAUUCCAUUCUGAGACCCAGGUUCUGCUUUCAAGACUUCUUAGGAAAUUAUUUCCUUGGAUCUCUUGGUUGGCUAGCCUAAUCACUUCAGAUUUUAAACCCUCAGUGCAAAUCUGGCAUUCAAUAAACCUUAUAACUAAAAUGAACUAUAAGCAUCUUUAAGCUCAGCAAAAUAAAUCCUGGUAUGUGGCUCACAUUGCCUACGAGGCAGGUAAGGACAAAUAUCAACACCAUCAGCAUGAGCUCAUCCUGCAGGCACAAUCUUCCCAUCAAACGUGCUCAGUGCCACUCGUGCUGGCUCUGCUGUGCCAGUUGUCCCCACACACACAGAAAGUGGAUGCAAAUUGCUCCUCUCCUCAAGGUCUCACUUUCUUGUGCAGCACAGCCACACCAAACAGCUCAUUACCAGAGCAGAAGCCCUCCCUCACCAAAAGGCCUAAAUGCCAGAAGCAGGAGGCACAGGCAAUGAAGUGGGAAAGCAGCAGGAAUAGGUGCUCAGCUUUCCAUGUUUCUAUAAAUGCAAGUGAUAAUUUAAAAUCUCCAGCAGAUAUUAAAGUAGGAGGGCAAUGAAGCAAGAGAACAGAUUGCAUGAAAAGGAAGAAGUGCCCUAUGGAGUUUAUGACCUGUUUACCAUAAGUAAAUAAAUAAAUGAAAGCAAAACAACCCCCUGAGGUGACAGAGUUUACAUGAGGGACAUCAGUGACUCUGUCACGUGGAAGCCGAUAAAACAACUGUCAUUGCAGAGCAAAGGAUUGAUUGGCCACACAACAGGAACUUGGGAAAGAAAGCAGAUGUGAAAGAAGGGAAGAGGAAGAUUUGGAAAUCAGGACAGCAGGGAAGUCACUCUGAAUAUCUAACACCACUGCCCUGGUACACAGCAGCUGAAGGCCGAGAGGAAAAAGAAGGAGCAGUUUGAGAAAACCAAGAAAGAAGAAAACACACAAGCCAGUUCAGUUCUUUCUACUUCACAUUGAAUCACUCAGCAACUCUGCUGGCAGGUGGAAUAUCACAAUUUUGCAUCCUUCAUUAGGGUUAAUUAGUUCUCUUGGUGACAGUACUGAAAGAAAGGCCAAGUGUUGGCUCAGUCACAGGGGAGUGACAUCUUCCCACUCCUGCAGGAGCCUGCUGUCCAAGGAAAGCCUCGGCUGUCCCUGCCUGUGUAACUGUCCUCUAUUCCCUGGUCUGAGGACAGGCUCCAAACCAAUCUUAUUCCUUUCAGUUCCACUAAUAUGCACUGCUAUUAAAAUCAGAAAUAUGUUA